GGAACCUUGUUCAGUGGUUAGAGCAUCUGCUUUGCAUGCAAAAGGUCCAGGGUUCAAUCCCUGGUAUCUCCA